UGGGAGAAUGCCUUGAGAGUUUAUCUAUUUAAACCUCCUCAGUUCACCUAUAAGAAAAUGAGGAACCAGAGAGAGAUGAAAAUGUUCCCAGUGUCCUAAGAGUAUCACACUGCAUCAUAACUGCCCGGUGGUUGGAAAUCCCGGACCCCCGGUCCACCAGCCUUGGCCUCCUGCAGAUGCUAGGCUCGGGAUGAAGUGCGGCCGAAGACUGCUGGGAAAAGAAAAGAAAGAGCCCUAAUGUGCCAUAUCGGGCAAGCCGUGGGGUGGCCCACUAACUGCUUUUUUAUGAUUGUCACUUACUGGCUCUGAUUUAGCCCCACUUAAAGAGUGGUGGCAGCAAUUGUGGAGGGCCUCAAAGGGAGACUGAUUCAAGUGAGGGCAAAGUAUUAUUGGGAACGAGGUCAAAUGGGUGAUGAAUGGGCCAUUAUGAGGAGGGGCAAACUGCCAUCGUUAGGGAUGCUGCAACAAGCUGGACGUUGAUCUAUUGUCUGUUCUGAGAUCCUCCAACAGGCCAUUAUGGCUCCCCUAAUGAGAUUGUCAUGCAUUUCUUUUUAUGUAGCUAUUAAAAUCUUGUCUACAUCU